UUGACAGAAGAGAGUGAGCACUCAUGGUCUUUUCCCGCAUUCAUCAAGGGUUUAAUGCUCGAAGCUAUGGGUGCUCACUUCUCUCUCUGUCAA
rnacentral:pre_miRNA from 1 species